AAACUGGGAUUAGAUACCCCACUAUUUUUAAAAGUAAAUAAAUUCUACCGGGGAACUACGAAUAAUAAUUUUAAUUUAAAACCCAAAGGGCUGGGCGGUGUUUUAGACUUCUUAGGGGAGCUUGUUUCGUAAUCGACAAUCCACGAUAGACCUAACCUUUUUUUGUAUCCAGUAUGUAUACCGUUGUCGUCAGGUAACUUUUAAAAAUAUAAAAGCUAGCAAAUAAGUUUUUAACUUGUACGUCAAAUCAAGGUGCAACCCAUAAAAAGG
rnacentral:rRNA from 1 species